UUCUAAACCCUAAGUGUGCCCCCAUAUUUGACAUCUCUCUAGUGAUAAUUGCGAAGGCUUCUCCGACGGAAUCUUUGCCACAGACCCGUAGUGAAGACGGAGAACCCACAUGCGAAGAUGGACGUCUUGUUCGCAAAGUUGCCACUUAGUUCAACCACAUUAAGAUCCGUUCCGUCAAGUGGAGGUACUCAUCUUUGAUUGCUGUAAAUUGAUUUUAGUUUUCUCAAUUCGUCAUUCUCAGAGUAAAGAAUGAAUGUAAUUCUAUGAAAGGGUGGAGUAGAUGUAUUUGUCAACAAGAUUCUGACCGGAAUCCAACAGAGAAACUUAAAGGUGGAGUUGAGUGAUAGAAGCUUUUGAUGAUUUAUUCUUCUAAGGUUUACUUUUAUGUCCCAAUAAUUGUUUUAUUUGGUGCCAACCUAGAAAAUUUAGUGCAGAUUUAAUUGUUUAUGAUUCCUAAAUGUUUAUCUAAAAGCAAGCAGCAUUACAAAACUUGAUUAAUCCAUGCCUUUUUGUAAAUAUGAUUCUAUGAAUCUGUUGAUGCACUAACAAUGGUUGGUUUUAAGUUAAAUGUGACAUUGGGAAAAUAUUUUAAAAACGUGGAAUUAUUAUGUACCAAGAGUAAAGGUGGGAUUAUUGUGUACAAGAUUGUAAACGUGGGAUUAUUAAAAACCAAUUUUCCUUAGUUUUUCUAUAAAAAUAUUGGCCUGCUAGUGUAAAACUUUAUUAAUUCUUUUUGUAAAAUGAUUUUUUGCACUAUUAUGACUAGAGUUUAAUAAAUAUUUGUUGAAAACUAAAUUCUAUAUCGGAGAUGAAGUUUUUCUCAAAAGCAUUCUAAACUCUACCGAGACUGUAGCAAGAGUAAGGGUCUAGAGCUUGGACCCAAAUGAUCUAGUUGGUGGUACAAAGAUUAGACCAGAAUGGUGUGAGUAAACGUUCAAAUACCAAUAAAAAAAGAUGAAAACUUGGUAAGACUAUAUGGUUUAUUUUCUACAAUUCAAGAUUGUAUUGGUGCAUCCAUCGCAUGGCCCUAUCCAUUCAUCUCGGUAGUCCAUGAGGAUUGAGGACACAUGAUGACCCAAGAUUUAUGCUUCUUAUUUCUUUAAUUCCUUUUAAUUUCUUUGUUAAAUGUUAAGACUUUAUGAUAGAUAAUGUUAUAACUUAUUUAUGGUUAGUGUUUUUGUUAUGAACAUGCUUAUUU
rnacentral:lncRNA from 1 species